CCUGGAUCAGUUUUGCUAAGCUGCAGAGAGACACGUGGUUUCUCUUGGAGGUGAAGUCUGGAUGGGGCACAUUUACCCAGGAGACCCAAUCAAGCUGUCAACUGUUCUAAAGCUGUUUGAAAAAUUACACAGGGAUGGAACUAGUUCACACUAGACACCAAAACCACUACACCGGGCUGCAGCGACUAUGGUGCUUGGAGUUCUCC